UGAGGAAGUGCAGACGCUGUCGUGCCUUUUUCACCACUUUGUCUGUGUGUGCGGUCCAGGACAGGUCUUCUGUUAUUGUCACUCCAAGGUAUUUGAAGAUGGUCACUCUCUCGACCGGCAUCCCUUCUAUGCUAAGGGGACUGUAGUUCCUUGCCUCCCGUCUCCUAAAAUCCACUAUGAUCUCCUUGGUCUUGCUGACGUUCAGGGCGAGGUGGUUCUCCUUGACACCAUCGUGCCAGGUUCUUCACUUCACUCAGGGUCGCAGGGGGUGCUGGAGCCUAUCUCAGCUGCAUUCGGGCGGAAGGCGGAGUACACCCUGGACAAGUCGCCACCUCAUCGCAGGGCCAACACAGAUGGACAGACAACAUUCACACUCACAUUUACACACUAGGGCCAAUUUAGUGUCGCCAAUCAACCUAUGCCCAAGUGCAUGUUUUUGGAGGUGGGAGGAAGCCAGAAUACCCGGAGGGAAACCACGCAGUCAUGGGGAGAACAUGCAAACUCCACACAGAAAGAUCCCGAGCCCGGGGUUGAACCCAGGACUUUCUUAUUGUGAGGCACAUGCAGUAACCCCUCCACCACCGUGCUGCCCUUCUAUUUAUGUAUAUAUUUAUCAGUGUGGGCAUUUAUUUAUUUUUUUUGAUAAUGAAUGGUUAUAUUUACCUCUAUUAUCACCAUUACUAUCAUUUUGAACAACAAUCAUUGAAGAAGCGUCUGCCUGGCUACUACUGUCACAGAAUAACGGUUGAAACAAUCAUAUUAUUAUUCUCUUUUGAAAUUUAAAACCUUUGUGGUCUACAUUA